ACCUCCUACGGGGGGCAGCAGUGGGGAAUAUUGGGCAAUGGGCGCAAGCCUGACCCAGCAACGCCGCGUGAAGGAAGAAGGCUUUCGGGUUGUAAACUUCUUUUGUCAGGGACGAAGCAAGUGACGGUACCUGACGAAUAAGCCACGGCUAACUACGUGCCAGCAGCCGCGGUAAUACGUAGGUGGCAAGCGUUAUCCGGAUUUAUUGGGUGUAAAGGGCGUGUAGGCGGGAAUGCAAGUCAGAUGUGAAAUCCACGGGCUCAACCCGUGAACUGCAUUUGAAACUGUUUCCCUUGAGUGUCGGG
rnacentral:rRNA from 1 species